rnacentral:rRNA from 1 species
GCACAACGCGAAGAACCUUACCCACCUUUGACAUGUACGGAAUCCUUUAGAGAUAGAGGAGUGCUCGAAAGAGAGCCGUAACACAGGUGCUGCAUGGCUGUCGUCAGCUCGUGUCGUGAGAUGUUGGGUUAAGUCCCGCAACGAGCGCAACCCUUGCCAUUAGUUGCUACAUUUAGUUGAGCACUCUAAUGGGACUGCCGGUGACAAACCGGAGGAAGGUGGGGAUGACGUCAAGUCCUCAUGGCCCUUAUAGGUGGGGCUACACACGUCAUACAAUGGCUGGUACAAAGGGUUGCCAACCCGCGAGGGGGAGCUAAUCCCAUAAAGCCAGUCGUAGUCCGGAUCGCAGUCUGCAACUCGACUGCGUGAAGUC